CAUAAAACCACAAGCAUUAGACAAGAGUUUUUAUUAUAAAUGUAAUGGCACUAAGGGGGAGGCUGGUCGCGCGGAUGUGGGGAGACUUUCUAGAUUUUCAGAAAAAAGUUUAAAAAAAGGUUGAAAAAGUGAGUUUAAAAAGUUAGAUUUUCAAAAAAGUUGAAAAAAGUUAGUUUAGGGUUAGGGUUGAGGUUAGUGUUAGGUGCCGCGAAUUUAUCAUGAUGAAUUCGGAUGUGUUUAACAAUUUAAUCAUAUAGUAAAUUCAAAGGUGGAUCUCAUGUCGAGAUAGAAAUGGUUGUAUUUUAUCAAUCUUUCUGAAAUUUAGGAAAUAUUACCUAAUUAUCAAGACUAGAAACGUAUUUAAACUUUAGAUAGAAUGGAUGAAAUCUGAUGGUAAUAUAAGUCUUGUCAAUUUUCGCGUCAAGCACUAGUAUCUGCAUGACCCGAAUAGGCAGAGAUUGUCCAAUACACCCUUUCGAUAAUUACGUCA